rnacentral:rRNA from 1 species
AAUGAACGCUGGCGGCAGGCCUAACACAUGCAAGUCGAACGAGUGGCGGACGGGUGAGUAAUGUCUGGGAACCUGCCCGAUGGAUGGGGAUAACUACUGGAAACGGUAGCUAAUACCGCAUACCAUCAGAUGUGCCCAGAUGGGAUUAGCUAGUUGGUGGGGUAACGGCUCACCAAUGCGACGAUCCCUAGCUGGACUGAGAGGUUGACCGGCCACAAUGGAACUGAGAAACGGUCCAGACUCCUACGGGAGGCAGCAGUGGGGAAUGUUGCACAAUGGGCGAAAGCCUGAUGCAGCAACGCCGCGUGUGUGAUGAAGGCCUUCGGGUUGUAAAGUACUUUCAGCAGGGAAGCGUUACCCGCAGAAAAAGCACCGGCUAACUCCGUGCCAGCCGCCGCGGUAAUAC